UCCCUGAUGGUCUAGGGGCUAGGAUUUGGCGCUUUCACCGCCGCGGCCCGGGUUCAAUUCCCGGUCAGGGAA
rfam:Gasterosteus aculeatus cont1.011330, whole genome shotgun sequence.